rnacentral:rRNA from 1 species
AUACGAGAGGCCCAAACGUUAUUCGGAUUUACUGGGCUUAAAGAGUUCGUAGGCGGUCCGUCAAGUGAGGUGUGAAAGCCCUCGGCUCAACCGAGGAAUUGCGCUUCAAACUGUCGGGCUCGAGGGAGAUAGAGGUGAGCGGAACUGAUGGUGGAGCGGUGAAAUGCGUUGAUAUCAUCAGGAACACCAGAGGCGGAGGCGGCUCACUGGGUCUUUUCUGACGCUGAGGAACGAAAGCUAGGGGAGCAAACGGG